GGUUAAGCGACUAAGCGUACACGGUGGAUGCCCUGGCAGUCAGAGGCGAUGAAGGACGUGCUAAUCUGCGAUAAGCGUCGGUAAGGUGAUAUGAACCGUUAUAACCGGCGAUUUCCGAAUGGGGAAACCCAGUGUGUUUCGACACACUAUCAUUAACUGAAUCCAUAGGUUAAUGAGGCGAACCGGGGGAACUGAAACAUCUAAGUACCCCGAGGAAAAGAAAUCAACCGAGAUUCCCCCAGUAGCGGCGAGCGAACGGGGAGCAGCCCAGAGCCUGAAUCAGUGUGUGUGUUAGUGGAAGCGUCUGGAAAGGCGCGCGAUACAGGGUGACAGCCCCGUACACAAAAAUGCACAUACUGUGAGCUCGAUGAGUAGGGCGGGACACGUGGUAUCCUGUCUGAAUAUGGGGGGACCAUCCUCCAAGGCUAAAUACUCCUGACUGACCGAUAGUGAACCAGUACCGUGAGGGAAAGGCGAAAAGAACCCCGGCGAGGGGAGUGAAAAAGAACCUGAAACCGUGUACGUACAAGCAGUGGGAGCACGCUUCGGCGUGUGACUGCGUACCUUUUGUAUAAUGGGUCAGCGACUUAUAUUCUGUAGCAAGGUUAACCGAAUAGGGGAGCCGAAGGGAAACCGAGUCUUAACUGGGCGUUAAGUUGCAGGGUAUAGACCCGAAACCCGGUGAUCUAGCCAUGGGCAGGUUGAAGGUUGGGUAACACUAACUGGAGGACCGAACCGACUAAUGUUGAAAAAUUAGCGGAUGACUUGUGGCUGGGGGUGAAAGGCCAAUCAAACCGGGAGAUAGCUGGUUCUCCCCGAAAGCUAUUUAGGUAGCGCCUCGUGAAUUCAUCUCCGGGGGUAGAGCACUGUUUCGGCAAGGGGGUCAUCCCGACUUACCAACCCGAUGCAAACUGCGAAUACCGGAGAAUGUUAUCACGGGAGACACACGGCGGGUGCUAACGUCCGUCGUGAAGAGGGAAACAACCCAGACCGCCAGCUAAGGUCCCAAAGUCAUGGUUAAGUGGGAAACGAUGUGGGAAGGCCCAGACAGCCAGGAUGUUGGCUUAGAAGCAGCCAUCAUUUAAAGAAAGCGUAAUAGCUCACUGGUCGAGUCGGCCUGCGCGGAAGAUGUAACGGGGCUAAACCAUGCACCGAAGCUGCGGCAGCGACACUAUGUGUUGUUGGGUAGGGGAGCGUUCUGUAAGCCUGUGAAGGUGUACUGUGAGGUAUGCUGGAGGUAUCAGAAGUGCGAAUGCUGACAUAAGUAACGAUAAAGCGGGUGAAAAGCCCGCUCGCCGGAAGACCAAGGGUUCCUGUCCAACGUUAAUCGGGGCAGGGUGAGUCGACCCCUAAGGCGAGGCCGAAAGGCGUAGUCGAUGGGAAACAGGUUAAUAUUCCUGUACUUGGUGUUACUGCGAAGGGGGGACGGAGAAGGCUAUGUUGGCCGGGCGACGGUUGUCCCGGUUUAAGCGUGUAGGCUGGUUUUCCAGGCAAAUCCGGAAAAUCAAGGCUGAGGCGUGAUGACGAGGCACUACGGUGCUGAAGCAACAAAUGCCCUGCUUCCAGGAAAAGCCUCUAAGCAUCAGGUAACAUCAAAUCGUACCCCAAACCGACACAGGUGGUCAGGUAGAGAAUACCAAGGCGCUUGAGAGAACUCGGGUGAAGGAACUAGGCAAAAUGGUGCCGUAACUUCGGGAGAAGGCACGCUGAUAUGUAGGUGAAGUCCCUCGCGGAUGGAGCUGAAAUCAGUCGAAGAUACCAGCUGGCUGCAACUGUUUAUUAAAAACACAGCACUGUGCAAACACGAAAGUGGACGUAUACGGUGUGACGCCUGCCCGGUGCCGGAAGGUUAAUUGAUGGGGUUAGCGGUAACGCGAAGCUCUUGAUCGAAGCCCCGGUAAACGGCGGCCGUAACUAUAACGGUCCUAAGGUAGCGAAAUUCCUUGUCGGGUAAGUUCCGACCUGCACGAAUGGCGUAAUGAUGGCCAGGCUGUCUCCACCCGAGACUCAGUGAAAUUGAACUCGCUGUGAAGAUGCAGUGUACCCGCGGCAAGACGGAAAGACCCCGUGAACCUUUACUAUAGCUUGACACUGAACAUUGAGCCUUGAUGUGUAGGAUAGGUGGGAGGCUUUGAAGUGUGGACGCCAGUCUGCAUGGAGCCGACCUUGAAAUACCACCCUUUAAUGUUUGAUGUUCUAACGUUGACCCGUGAUCCGGGUUGCGGACAGUGUCUGGUGGGUAGUUUGACUGGGGCGGUCUCCUCCUAAAGAGUAACGGAGGAGCACGAAGGUUGGCUAAUCCUGGUCGGACAUCAGGAGGUUAGUGCAAUGGCAUAAGCCAGCUUGACUGCGAGCGUGACGGCGCGAGCAGGUGCGAAAGCAGGUCAUAGUGAUCCGGUGGUUCUGAAUGGAAGGGCCAUCGCUCAACGGAUAAAAGGUACUCCGGGGAUAACAGGCUGAUACCGCCCAAGAGUUCAUAUCGACGGCGGUGUUUGGCACCUCGAUGUCGGCUCAUCACAUCCUGGGGCUGAAGUAGGUCCCAAGGGUAUGGCUGUUCGCCAUUUAAAGUGGUACGCGAGCUGGGUUUAGAACGUCGUGAGACAGUUCGGUCCCUAUCUGCCGUGGGCGCUGGAGAACUGAGGGGGGCUGCUCCUAGUACGAGAGGACCGGAGUGGACGCAUCACUGGUGUUCGGGUUGUCAUGCCAAUGGCACUGCCCGGUAGCUAAAUGCGGAAGAGAUAAGUGCUGAAAGCAUCUAAGCACGAAACUUGCCCCGAGAUGAGUUCUCCCUGACUCCUUGAGAGUCCUGAAGGAACGUUGAAGACGACGACGUUGAUAGGCCGGGUGUGUAAGCGCAGCGAUGCGUUGAGCUAACCGGUACUAAUGAACCGUGAGGCUUAACCUUACAACGCCGAAGGUGUUUUG
rnacentral:rRNA from 2 species